rnacentral:rRNA from 1 species
UACGUAGGGGGCAAGCGUUGUCCGGAAUCAUUGGGCGUAAAGAGCGUGUAGGCGGCUUCACAGGUCCGCUGUGAAAACUCGAGGCUCAACCUCGAGCUGUCGGUGGAAACCGUGUGGCUAGAGUCCGGAAGAGGAGAGUGGAAUUCCCGGUGUAGCGGUGAAAUGCGCAGAUAUCGGGAAGAACACCCGUGGCGAAGGCGGCUCUCUGGGACGGUACUGACGCUGAGACGCGAAAGCGUGGGGAGCGAACAGG